rnacentral:rRNA from 1 species
GAUGAACGCUGGCGGCGUGCCUAAUACAUGCAAGUCGAGCGAACGGACGAGAAGCUUGCUUCUCUGAUGUUAGCGGCGGACGGGUGAGUAACACGUGGAUAACCUACCUAUAAGACUGGUAUAACUUCGGGAAACCGGCGCUAAUACCGGAUAAUCUUUUGAACCGCAUGGUUCAAAAGUGAGAGACGGUCUUGCUGUCACUUAUAGAUGGAUCCGCGCUGCUUUAGCUAGUUGGUAAGGUAACGGCUUACCAAGGCAACGAGGCAUAGACGACCUGAGAGGGUGAUAGGCCACACUGGAACUGGGACGCGGUCCAGGCUCCUACGGGAGGCAGCAGUAGGGAAUCGUACGCAGUGGGCGAGAGCCUGACGGAGCAAGGCCGAGUGAGUGAUGGAGGUCUUCGGAUCGUAAAACUCUGUUAUUAGGGAAGAACAGCUGUGUAAGUAGAUGUGGAGAGAUUGACGGUAACUAAUCAGAAAGCCACGGCUAACUACGUG